rnacentral:rRNA from 1 species
AUUGAACGCUGGCGGCAUGCCUUACACAUGCAAGUCGAACGGCAGCACGGGGGCAAUCCUGGUGGCGAGUGGCGAACGGGUGAGUAAUAUAUCGGAACGUGCCCAGUCGUGGGGGAUAACGUAGCGAAAGCUACGCUAAUACCGCAUACGAUCUACGGAUGAAAGCGGGGGAUCGCAAGACCUCGCGCGAUUGGAGCGGCCGAUAUCAGAUUAGGUAGUUGGUGAGGUAAAGGCUCACCAAGCCGACGAUCUGUAGCUGGUCUGAGAGGACGACCAGCCACACUGGGACUGAGACACGGCCCAGACUCCUACGGGAGGCAGCAGUGGGAAUUUUGGACAAUGGGCGCAAGCCUGAUCCAGCAAUGCCGCGUGCAGGAUGAAGGCC